rnacentral:tRNA from 14 species
GCCCUAGUAGCUUAGACAUCAAAGCAC